rnacentral:rRNA from 1 species
GAUGAACGCUGGCGGCGUGCCUAACACAUGCAAGUCGAACGGAGUCCAGCCUUUAAGACCUUCGGGUCAAAGAGGGGAAGACUGAGUGGCGGACGGGUGAGUAACACGUGGGCAACCUGGCUCAUAGAGGGGGAUAACAGAGAGAAAUUUCUGCUAAUACCGCAUAAGCACACACUGCCGCAUGGCAGAGGGUGAAAAGAGAAUCGCUAUGAGAUGGACCCGCGUCUGAUUAGCCAGUUGGCAGGGUAAGAGCCUACCAAAGCGACGAUCAGUAGCCGAUCUGAGAGGAUGAACGGCCACAUUGGGACUGAGACACGGCCCAAACUCCUACGGGAGGCAGCAGUGGGGGAUAUUGCACAAUGGGAGGAACCCUGAUGCAGCGACGCCGCGUGAGUGAAGAAGUAUUUCGGUAUGUAAAGCUCUAUCAGCAGGGAAGAUAAUGACAGUACCUGAAGAAGAAGCCCCGGCUAACUACGUG